AUUGAACGCUGGCGGCGUGCUUAACACAUGCAAGUCGAUCGGUAACAGGUGUAGCAAUACAUGCUGACGAGAGGCGGACGGGUGAGGAACGCUUGGGAAUCUGCCUAUCAGCGGGGGACAACCCGGGGAAACUCGGGCUAAUACCGCAUACGCUCUACGGAGGAAAGCCGGGGACCGCAAGGCUCGGCACUGAUAGAUGAGCCCAAGCCGGAUUAGCUAGUUGGCGGGGUAACGGCCCACCAAGGCGACGGUCCGUAGCUGGUCUGAGAGGACGAUCAGCCACACCGGAACUGAGACACGGUCCGGACUCCUACGGGAGGCAGCAGUGGGGAAUAUUGGACGAUGGGCGAAAGCCUGAUCCAGCGACGCCGCGUGGGUGAAGAAGGCCUGCGGGUUGUAAAGCCCUUUCGGUAGGGACGAAAGCUCUCGACCUAACACGUCGGGAGGUUGACUUAACCUACAAAAGAAGCACCGGCUAACUCUGUGCCAGCCGCCGCAGUAAGAC
rnacentral:rRNA from 1 species